ensembl:lncRNA
AAGACAUAGCAGCAUAUUUCAAAGGAGCCGAGACCUGAAGCAGACACCUCAAUGUGCUCCUCUUCUGCAGCUUUGAGAAACUGGCUCGGCAGGAACGUCCCUGUAGGUCUGUUUAUGAGCUCUCAGAAGUCUGUAUGGUGUGUGUGUGUGUGUCAGUGUGUGUCAGUGUGUGUCAGUGUGUGUCAGUGUGUGUGUGUGUGUGUGUGAGAGAGAGAUAGAGGGGUGGUGGUAGGUAAGACCUAGAAAUGUACCUGAUAGUGAUCAGCCACCCAUUCCUCUAUCAAACCAGCCAGCCCUGUUCUUCUGCAGAACAAAGACAAUUACACCUGCAGCACACACAGCUGCUCCACAUGGACCUACACCGCCACAGCUGUGUCCCUGGAGCUCAAUGGCAAGGUCACGUACAGUAGUGUGAGGGGCCACAGCUGUGUCACUGGAGCUCAAUGGCAAGGUCACAUACAGCAGUGUGAGGGGUCACAUACAGCAGUGUGAGGGGUCACAUACAGCAGUGUGAGGGGUCACAUACAGCAGUGUGAGGGGUCACGUACAGCAGUGUGAGGGGCCACAGCUGUGAAGGUAGUGGGGGGGUGAGGGGAGGAGGGAGCAGUCUUUAAACUUAAGAGCAACUCUGUAUGAAAUGGCAUGAGCUUAUCCCUGUCACAUAAGGGUAAAAAUAAAAUGAAAAAGACACAGGGACAGAUGCAUCACAGCAACGUGUUUCUAUUCUUAUCCCCUAAUGUCUCAUUGAUUUAAGUAUGGGCCAAACUCUGCCUGCGCUGGAAAAGCCUUCAAAUCUAAUUUGAGGCAGCAUCCUACAAAGAGCAGCUGUGAAAAAAAAAACAGUGACGAGAGACAGAGUCUGCCGCCAUAUGACGAUGCCAAUGUCUGUGACUGGAUUCAAAGUCAGUGCCUACACUGUGAUUUUAUUUCCACAAAUGAUCCAUUUAAGAUGAUGACUAUAAUUCAUACAAACCUCCACGGCUUCAGAACCAUCGGUUACCAAACCCCUUCUGUAGAAACCCUAUCACCUUCAACAUAAGCGGGUCCAUUAAAGUACUUUUACCACUCUUGCCGUCCAAUGGGUCACAAAAGUCACCGGCUCCAAAGUUCAGCUGAAGUGCUAAAGGUGUACGCUUGACAGAGAGCACCGCGUAGAUGUUUACACCCACCCCAGGUGGAGAGCAUAGCUCCCAGCGGCCCCGGCCCCGGCCCCGGGCAUACCUCAAAGCCUCCCCGGAAUCUGUCUCCUCUCUGUGACACAAAGAGCACAUGUGUCAAAGCUACAGCGUGGUGCUCUAGCCUUACAUCCAGUGGGCCUUAGAAAGCAGCAGUCGCCUGCCAUGUUUUGUAAGCGCUGAAUGAGAAACAUGAGACUGGGGGUGUCCAGGUGAAAGGGGGUGUGUGUGUGUGUGUGUGUGUGUGUGUGUGCAACACUCCUCUCCCCAAACACAGACACACGACAGAGCUUUGCCAAGCAGGGUUUGCACUGAAACCCAACACCACCACAGGGAGCACAAUGGGCAUUCGGUGUAACGCAUGCCGUAAUGGAUCAAGGUACAGUGACAAGGGAUGCAGGCUAUGAGAAAAGAGUGUGUGUGUGUGUGUGUGUGUGUGUGUGUGU